rnacentral:rRNA from 1 species
AAAUUGAAGAGUUUGAUCAUGGCUCAGAUUGAACGCUGGCGGCAGGCCUAACACAUGCAAGUCGAGCGGAAACGAGUUAUCUGAACCUUCGGGGAACGAUAACGGCGUCGAGCGGCGGACGGGUGAGUAAUGCCUAGGAAAUUGCCUUGAUGUGGGGGAUAACCAUUGGAAACGAUGGCUAAUACCGCAUAAUGCCUACGGGCCAAAGAGGGGGACCUUCGGGCCUCUCGCGUCAAGAUAUGCCUAGGUGGGAUUAGCUAGUUGGUGAGGUAAUGGCUCACCAAGGCGACGAUCCCUAGCUGGUCUGAGAGGAUGAUCA